UACGAACUGUGCGAACGUUAUUCGGAAUCACUGGGCUUAAAGGGUGCGUAGGCGGAUUUGUAGGUCAGAUGUGAAAGCCCACGGCUCAACCGUGGAAUUGCGUUUGAAACCACAAGUCUUGAGGGGAUCAGAGGAGAGCGGAACUCAUUGUGGAGCGGUGAAAUGCGUUGAUAUGAUGAGGAACACCGGUGGCGAAAGCG
rnacentral:rRNA from 1 species